GUCCAGACUCCUACGGGAGGCAGCAGUGGGGAAUAUUGCACAAUGGGGGGAACCCUGAUGCAGCGACGCCGCGUGAGUGAAGAAGUCAUUCGUGAUGUAAAGCUCUAUCAGCAGGGAAGAAAAUGACGGUACCUGACUAAGAAGCCCCGGCUAACUACGUGCCAGCAGCCGCGGUAAUACGUAGGGGGCAAGCGUUAUCCGGAUUUACUGGGUGUAAAGGGAGCGUAGACGGCAGCGCAAGUCCGAAGUGAAAGCGCGGGGCCCAACCCCGGGACUGCUUUGGAAACUGUGAAGCUGGAGUGCGGGAGGGGCAGGCGGAAUUCCUGGUGUAGCGGUGAAAUGCGUAGAUAUCAGGAGGAACACCGGGGGGGAAGGCGGCCUGCUGGACCGUAACUGACGUUGAGGCUCGAAAGCGUGGGGAGCAAACAGGAUUAGAUACCCCUGUAA
rnacentral:rRNA from 1 species